GGAGAAUGAAAGAACUUGAAGAGAGAGUCAAAAGGGCGUGAACCGCUUAGAAUAAACGGACGGAGCCGUCAGGAGCUCUCGAGACUCAGUCGUCUAGUUGAAGGUGAAAGUGUAUGCGUUUUCGGUGAACAUAAAAGUCGCCAGCGUGUAUAUUAGUAUUACCGAUAGUCGACGCAUUUCUCGAGAGUAAGCAAUGCAACCGAUACGAAAGGCUAACGAGGUGAAUGGAUUGAGGUCUAGCGUUCUUGCGGACGUUAGUUACCAGUCUAUUCGCGCUUAAGUCGUUAGACCGCAGUAUGUAUCGAGCGCUAAUUAAAAUGAAAAUAUGUCGACCGUUUCUGGUUCGUCGAACGAUGGAUAAUCGGCUAGUCGAUUGGUUACCUACUCGUAGGUGCUAAUUCGUCUUAUAUUAUAUCGGUCGAUUUAGAAGUCGUCGACGACUCGACAUAUAGGCGUUUGCAUUGUCAGAGUCGGUCACCCGUCCGACCCGUCUUGAAACACGGACCAAGGAGUCUAACAUAUGCGCGAGCCAAUAGGUGGAAAACCUAAAGGCGCAAUAAAAGUGAAGGCUAUUUUUUUAAAUGGUCGAGGUACGAUCUUGGACUGGUAUUCCCUUAAACAAGGAAUAUUUUUGCUCUAAGCGCAGUACCGUCUCAUCCCUAAGGCAUGUCCUAAGGGUGAAGAUAGAGUGCAUACGUUGGGACCCGAAAGAUGGUGAACUAUGCCUGAGCAGAGCGAAGCCAGAGGAAACUCUGGUGGAGGUUCGUAGCGGUUCUGACGUGCAAAUCGAUCGUCAGACUUGGGUAUAGGGGCGAAAGACUAAUCGAACCUCAUACGGGGGGUCCCUUCUCACAAAAAA
rnacentral:rRNA from 1 species